rnacentral:rRNA from 1 species
CCUACGGGCGGCAGCAGUGGGGAAUAUUGGGCAAUGGGCGCAAGCCUGACCCAGCAACGCCGCGUGAAGGAAGAAGGCUUUCGGGUUGUAAACUUCUUUUGUCAGGGACGAAGCAAGUGACGGUACCUGACGAAUAAGCCACGGCUAACUACGUGCCAGCAGCCGCGGGAAUACGUAGGUGGCAAGCGUUAUCCGGAUUUAUUGGGUGGAAAGGGCGUGUAGGCGGGAAUGCAAGUCAGAUGUGAAAACUAUGGGCUCAACCCAAAGCGUGCAUUUGAAACUGUAUUUCUUGAGUGCUGGAGAGGCAAUCGGAAUUCCGUGUGUAGCGGUGAAAUGCGUAGAUAUACGGAGGAACACCAGUGGCGAAGGCGGAUUGCUGGACAGUAACUGACGCUGAGGCGCGAAAGCGUGGGGAGCGAACAGGAUUAGAUACCCUUGUAGUC